rnacentral:rRNA from 1 species
CCUACGGGAGGCUGCAGUGGGGAAUAUUGGACAAUGGGGGGAACCCUGAUCCAGCCAUGCCGCGUGUGUGAAGAAGGCCCUCGGGUUGUAAAGCACUUUCAGUGAGGAAGAACGCCUGGUGGUUAAUACCCAUCAGGAAAGACAUCACUCACAGAAGAAGCACCGGCUAACUCCGUGCCAGCAGGCGCGGUAAUACGGAGGGUGCGAGCGUUAAUCGGAAUUACUGGGCGUAAAGCGCGCGUAGGUGGCUUGAUAAGCCGGUUGUGAAAGCCCCGGGCUCAACCUGGGAACGGCAUCCGGAACUGUCAAGCUAGAGUGCAGGAGAGGAAGGUAGAAUUCCCGGUGUAGCGGUGAAAUGCGUAGAGAUCGGGAGGAAUACCAGUGGCGAAGGCGGCCUUCUGGACUGACACUGACACUGAGGUGCGAAAGCGUGGGUAGCAAACAGGAUUAGAUACCCCAGUAGUC